GUCGUCGUGGCCGCAGUGGUUAAGGCGACAGACUAGAAAUCUGUUGGGCUCUGCCCGCACAGGUUCGAAUCCUGUCGGCGAAG
rnacentral:tRNA from 1 species